rnacentral:snRNA from 1 species
CUCUCCUUGACAAAGACGGAAGAGAUCAAUCAACCUUUCUAACACAUACGGGCAUUGCUCUCUACUUUAGAGCAACCUAUUUUUUUUU